UCAGGUCUCCAAGGUGAAC
rnacentral:snRNA from 1 species